AUUUUGACCUCGGAUCAGGUAGGGAUACCCGCUGAACUUAAGCAUAUCAAUAAGCGGAGGAAAAGAAACCAACAGGGAUUGCCCUAGUAACGGCGAGUGAAGCGGCAACAGCUCAAAUUUGAAAUCUGGCUCUUUCAGGGUCCGAGUUGUAAUUUGUAGAGGGUGCUUUGGAGUUGACUGUGGUCUAAGUUCCUUGGAACAGGACGUCGCAGAGGGUGAGAAUCCCGUAUGUGGCCGCCAGUCUUCGCCGUGUAAAGCCCCUUCGACGAGUCGAGUUGUUUGGGAAUGCAGCUCUAAAUGGGAGGUAAAUUUCUUCUAAAGCUAAAUAUUGGCCAGAGACCGAUAGCGCACAAGUAGAGUGAUCGAAAGAUGAAAAGCACUUUGGAAAGAGAGUCAAAAAGCACGUGAAAUUGUUGAAAGGGAAGCGCUUGCAGCCAGACUUGCCUGUAGUUGCUCAUCCGGGCUUUUGCCCGGUGCACUCUUCUAUAGGCAGGCCAGCAUCAGUCCUGGCGGUCGGAUAAAUGCCUGCUGAAUGUACCUCUCCUCGGGGAGGACUUAUAGCGGUGGGCGGCAUACGACCAGCCGGGAUUGAGGUCCGCGCAUCUGCUAGGAUGCUGGCGUAAUGGCUGUAAGCGGCCCGUCUUGAAACACGGACCAAGGAGUCUAACAUCUAUGCGAGUGUUUGGGUGUCAAGCCCGAGCGCGUAAUGAAAGUGAACGGAGGUGGGAACCCCUCGGGGCGCACCAUCGACCGAUCCUGAUGUCUUCGGAUGGAUUUGAGUAAGAGCAUAGCUGUUGGGACCCGAAAGAUGGCGAACUAUGCCUGAAUAGGGUGAAGCCAGAGGAAACUCUGGUGGAGGCUCGCAGCGGUUCUGACGUGCAAAUCGAUCGUCAAAUUUGGGCAUAGGGGCGAAAGACUAAUCGAACUAUCUAGUAGCUGGUUCCUGCCCAAAGUUUCCCUCAG
rnacentral:rRNA from 1 species